GAGCUAGCUGGAAUACCUUCUUCACAGCGCCAAGAUCCUUGCAAGUGGCUGAGAUGUCUGGAUCGACGGUCUCCAUGACUGUGUUUGUGGCCGUCUUCGAAAGGAUCUGUUGGUCAGGAACAGGGCCAUCAAAGUAAUUGCGUGCAUCCAUCUGCAGGAAAUAGUCUCACCUCAAACUGGGGCAGAGACACCCUGUCGUAAUAAAAAAAAUAAAAAUAAAAAUCAUGCCCAAACAUGAUUGUGCCUAAUUCCGUGCCAAACUGUCAAUCAGCGAAUGCCAAACAUCAACCAAAUCCUGUCCUUUCAAUCAGGAACAUGCCUCAAACGAUAGAGGGUGAUAUUAACCACCCCGUCUUGGAUUAUUUUGUGAUCAGAGGCCUAGAACUGUUUGGAACAUCCAAUUAGCAUUAAUUCUAGGCCCCAGCAGUUUGACGAUCCAGAUCAAUGGGCAUACGCCCCAAUGCUGGAUAGGGAAAGUUUAAGCACCAAAUUCUGUAUGGUCCAGCUUACCAGCUGAUGAAGGUUGGACUCGUUGUCCACAGCUUUCUUCCCAGUCAGUAACUCGAGCAGGACAAUCCCAAAGCUGUAAACAUCGGAUUUCUCAUUGAGGCGGGACGUGCGAGCAUACUCAGGGUCUAUGUAGCCGAUGGUCCCCAUGAUGUACGUGGAGGUGUGGGUCUUUGAUACAGACAAGCUCUUUGCGAUUCCAAAGUCUGUGAGGUGGGGCUCGAAAUCCUUGUCCAAGAGUAUGUUAGAUGAUUUCACGUCCCUGUGGAUUAUGCGUGGGCUGCAGUCGUGGUGGAGAUAGGAGAGUCCUUGCGCUGCACCUAAUGCGAUACUCAGGCGGGUGUCCCAGUCAAGCUUCUUCUUCUUUGAUGGACCUGAAAAAAGGGGCAGGGAUAGAGGUUUCUUAGCGAUGUAACGGUGAUCGGAGGUCAGCUCCCCCAACACUAUUGAUGGUCAGUCCGAUAAAGGAAACCGUACUUAACAACCUCA